GUGCUCACUUCAGUAGCAUAUGUACUAAAACUAAAAUGAUACAGAAAUUAGCAUGGCCUCUGCACGAGUAUCACAUGCAAAUUUGCAAAAUAUUCCAUAUUUUU
ensembl:snRNA U6 U6 spliceosomal RNA